AAAUAAAUUAAAAAUAAAAUUAGAAAAUUUAGUAGAACAUAAAAUAGAAUAGAAGUUACAGUAAACGGUCCGUGUAUAUUUUGGCAAUUGGAUUUUCCGUUCUGAAACGGGGAUCGAAAAACAAAAAACGAGUGGUUAUUUGAUAAUCGUUUUAAUAUUCCUUUUAACCAGGAUUUUGGAUGGAAAACUCAGUUAAAGCAACAUUUUAGGUGCAUGUCCAAGGAUUUUUGGUGGAAUGUUCCUUUAAGGUGGAUGUUUGAGGACCUUGUAGGUGGAAUACUUCCUGAAACCAACCUUUUAGGUCAACAUUUAAAGAUUUAAGGUGGAAUAUUCCUUUAAACCAACCUAAAUUUCAUGUUUUGAUCAUUAUCAAGUGAGAAACCUCAAUCCAGACUCUUCAUAAUGACAUUUGAGAUUUAUGCUGCUGUUAUUUGUUUAGUCCAGACUAAAUGACAGAAAUCCACAACUGUAAUUUUAUUUCAGGACUCAGUUAUUAAAUGUCAAAACAAUCCAUGUGACUCUAAAAACUCAACAGCUUUACAAACUCUAAGAUUAAACUCUCCACAAGGAUCCAAAAUAAGUUGGACUUUUACAUGAGAGCUUUAAUUAUUCUUCAUCUACUUCCUGAAAAGUUUGGUCAAUAAAAAAGACAAAAACUAAUAUUUUCAGCUGAACUAAAGACAGACUUUGUGAUUUUUCUGCUCACAUGUUGUGUUGUUGUAAACUUCCUCUUUCUAAUAAAUAUCCUCCUAACCCCCUGGAAACCAGUGUUUGUCCUGUUUUUGUGUUGCUCCUCAGUGACCCUAGACAGCCGGGUCCUAAUGUUUUUUGAGCAACACACCAUAAUAUGAUGUUUUUACAAUGAUGGUUCUACUAUGGAACCAGUUUGACAUGUUCAGGUGUUCUUUGUGUGAAAACUCAGAGAUUUCAGGGAUCAGAAGGUGGUUUUCAACUUUCUUUGUUAACUUUCUGCUUCAACUUUAAACUAAAUUUCCUUCACUAAGCCAGCCCUCUGGACUUCCAGGAAGCUGUGUUCCUAUUGGCUGUCCAGGUGGCUGCUUGGUGUUAUCAGGAACACCUGAGCAGCUCAGUGUCUUCCUGCUUUAUGUGGCUGCAAACAUUUCCUCUGAUUCUCUUCACCACAGAACCGGGUUUGGUUCCAUUGCUUUAGGUUGUUCUUUAGGCGUUGGCUUGCAGCUUCCAGCAGUAAAAUCAUCUUUAGUGUUUCUUGGUGUGUUUUAGGGCUUUGUACUGGAUAGUUGUCUUGGUAAAUGUGGUUCUUUAGCCACAGUUAGCACAUGGUGCUAAUGUGUGCAGUGAUUAGUGGAUUUGGUGCAGGUGAGUUGUGUCUUUAUCUUGGC
ensembl:lncRNA